UACGGUAUAUCUAUUACGAAUGCUCUGCCAUUUAGAUUAUUAUAAUACCGUAUUUAGGUUACCAUGUUACAGAUAUUAAAAUAAACGCCUCCCUCUUUUAAACGCCUCUUAUCUUUUAAACGCCCCCCCUUGGACCCUUGAAAUUUAAUAAACGCCCCCGGCCUUUAUUAGAUCAUUUACGGUAUUCCAUUGAGAGGCAAUUACUAAGAGUUGUGCAUUAGCCCAUGUUAAAUCGUGUCUUUUUUGUUGUUGCAGAAUCAUUACAGGCCAGCCAAGUGAUCGAAAGUCAGACGCUGGUAGCGUGUAUUCAGCAAGCGAAGUUGACGACAACUUUGACAGCGUUUCUCAAGUUGGAAGUUCGG